GAAAUGCGAUACUUGGUGUGAAUUGCAGAAUUCAGUGAAUCAUCGAAUCUUUGAACGCACAUUGCGCCCCCUGGUAUUCCGGGGGGCAUGCCUGUCCGAGCGUCAUUACAACCCUCAAGCUCAGCUUGGUGUUGGGCCCCGCCGCCCCGGCGGGCCCUAAAGUCAGUGGCGGUGCCGUCCGGCUCCGAGCGUAGUAAUUCUUCUCGCUCUGGAGGUCCGGUCGUGUGCUUGCCAUCAACCCCCAAAUUUUUUCAGGUUGACCUCGGAUCAGGUAGGGAUACCCGCUGAACUUAA
rnacentral:misc_RNA from 1 species